UUAAUUCUAAUAUGGCAGAAUAGUGCAAUGAAUUUAAGCUUCAUAUAUAAAGUUUUUCUUUUGUUAGAAAA
rnacentral:tRNA from 1 species